GCAUAAUCAUUAGUUUUUUAAUUGAGGACUGGAAUGAAAGGUAGAAACUAAAUGGAAGGUUUUAUAAAAUAAUUUUGAAUUUAAAUUAAAAGUAAAAAUUCUUUUAUUAAUCCUUGGGACGAGAAGACCCUAGAAGCUUAAAAUUUAUGUAAAAUUUUUAAUUGGGGCAAUUGUUAAAGAUAUAAAUUUUUAAUAGAAGUAUUUAGAGUUUAUUAGUUACUCUAGGGAUAACAGCGUUAUUUAAUUAGCAAGUUCUUAUUAAUAAUUAGGUUUGCGACC
rnacentral:rRNA from 1 species